GUUUUAUAUCCCAGAAAGGAGAUUUAAUAACUACCAAAUGUUCUUGGAAAAAAGCUCCGAAGAGCUGAAAAAGAUCUAGCUUUAUAUCCCAGAAAGGAGAUUUAAUAACUACCAAAUGUUCUUGGAAAAAAGCUCGGAAGAGCUGAAAAAGACCUAGCCUUAUAUCCCAGAAAGGAGAUAUAAUAACUACCAAAUGUUCUUGGAAAAAGCUCCAAAGAGAUGAAAAUGUCCAAACAAAAAUUAAAUAAAUUUAGCACGAAAAAUCGCUGCAAAAUACGCUAUAAAAUACAAAUUCUUAAUGGAAGUUCGAUAUAGGCUUUUAAUUUUUAAUGUAGCCUCAUUUUUCUAGAAAGAAUGAUCGUCAAUAUGGAGGCCAUA